UACGAACUGUGCAAACGUUAUUCGGAAUCACUGGGCUUAAAGGGUGCGUAGGCGGCUUGUUAAGUAGGGUGUGAAAUCCCAAGGCUCAACCUUGGAAUUGCGCCCUAAACUGGCGAGCUGGAGUGAGAUAGGGGUGUGUGGAACUUCCAGUGGAGCGGUGAAAUGUGUUGAUAUUGGAAGGAACGCCAGUGGCGAAAGCGACACACUGGGUCUCAACUGACGCUGAGGCACGAAAGCCAGGGGAGCAAAC
rnacentral:rRNA from 1 species